CCUAAAUUCGUUUUAAGCGAUGGGGGGACGCAGUAGGAUAGGCGAAGCGUGCUGUUGGAGUGCACGUCUAAGCAGUGAGAUUGAGUGUUAGGCAAAUCCGGCACUCGUAAAGAUUGAGCUGUGAUGGGGAGAAGAAAUUCGUUUCUUCGAGUCGUUGAUUUCACACUGCCGAGAAAAGCCUCUAGCUAGAAAAUAGGUGCCCGUACCGCAAACCGACACAGGUAGUCAAGAUGAGAAUUCUAAGGUGAGCGAGCGAACUCUCGUUAAGGAACUCGGCAAAAUGACCCCGUAACUUCGGGAGAAGGGGUGCUCUUUAGGGUUCACGCUCUGAAGAGCCGCAGUGAAUAGGCCCAAGCGACUGUUUAUCAAAAACACAGGUCUCUGCUAAACCGUAAGGUGACGUAUAGGGGCUGACGCCUGCCCGGUGCUGGAAGGUUAAGAGGAGUGGUUAGCUUCUGCGAAGCUACGAAUCGAAGCCCCAGUAAACGGCGGCCGUAACUAUAACGGUCCUAAGGUAGCGAAAUUCCUUGUCGGGUAAGUUCCGACCCGCACGAAAGGCGUAACGAUUUGGGCACUGUCUCAACGAGAGACUCGGUGAAAUCAUAGUACCGGUGAAGAUGCCGGUUACCCGCGACAGGACGGAAAGACCCCGUGGAGCUUUACUGUAGCCUGAUAUUGAAAUUCGGUACAGUUUGUACAGGAUAGGUAGGAGCCUUAGAAGCGUGAGCGCUAGCUUACGUGGAGGCAUUGGUGGGAUACUACCCUAAUUGUAUUGGAUUUCUAACCCGCAGCACUUAUCGUGCUGGGAGACAGUGUCAGGCGGGCAGUUUGACUGGGGCGGUCGCCUCCUAAAGAGUAACGGAGGCGCUCAAAGGUUCCCUCAGAAUGGUUGGAAAUCAUUCAUAGAGUGUAAAGGCAUAAGGGAGCUUGACUGCGAGACCUACAAGUCGAGCAGGGUCGAAAGACGGACUUAGUGAUCCGGUGGUUCCGCAUGGAAGGGCCAUCGCUCAACGGAUAAAAGCUACCCCGGGGAUAACAGGCUUAUCUCCCCCAAGAGUUCACAUCGACGGGGAGGUUUGGCACCUCGAUGUCGGCUCAUCGCAUCCUGGGGCUGUAGUCGGUCCCAAGGGUUGGGCUGUUCGCCCAUUAAAGCGGUACGCGAGCUGGGUUCAGAACGUCGUGAGACAGUUCGGUCCCUAUCCGUCGUGGGCGUAGGAAAUUUGAGAGGCGCUGUCCUUAGUACGAGAGGACCGGGAUGGACAUACCUCUGGUGUACCAGUUGUCGCGCCAGCGGCAUAGCUGGGUAGCUAUGUAUGGACGGGAUAAGUGCUGAAAGCAUCUAAGCAUGAAGCCCCCCUCGAGAUGAGAUUUCCCAACUUCGGUUAUAAGAUCCCUCAAAGAUGAUGAGGUUAAUAGGUUCGAGGUGGAAGCGUAGCGAUACGUGGAGCUGACGAAUACUAAUCGAUCGAAGACUUAAUCAAAUU
rnacentral:rRNA from 1 species